rnacentral:snoRNA from 1 species
GUGCACUGUUCGCAACCUGGUUCACUCUCAGUAUGACUUUGGGUUCCAUUCAGAUGCUAGAUGAAACUUCAGUAAGACAGGGAAGUGUCCCCUUGUGUGUGCUGUUCACUGUUGACUCUCUGGGAACAUUG